GCUUUCAUUUUAAAAAGCUUCCAACUUUCAUCCUCGGUAAGAAAUCGAACCUCUACUGGGGAGUUGCAAGGAUCGGCAUGCAAUGCCAAGUCCUUGUGGCGUGUUGUGAAUAAAAUUUUGCUCCCCUUUCUUCCUCGUGGAAAAGCAGGUUUAAAAUUGUCCCAAUCUUCACUUCUCCAGAUAUCAUCAAGAACCACCAAAUACCGUUUUUCUUUCAAGACAUCAUAAAGCCUUUUCACCAACUCAUGCUCUUUCAGUUUAUCGAUUAGCUCCCUUUCUUCUUUAGAAGGAGAGAGAAGUUUUAAGAGGAGAUCAUGCAAAACUUCUCUUGGCAUACACUGUUGAGAUAUAAAAGCCCAAGCACAACAAUCAAAAUGUCGUUUCACAUCAACGUGCUUAUAAACCUUUUUUGCCAGAGUGGUCUUACCUAUGCCCCCCAUGCCGACUAUAGAAACAACGACAUGAAGUCUAUCUUCUUCUGUCAUCAACUGAGCCAAAACCUCUUUUGUGGUAUCCUCCAAGCUAACAACAUCCUCUUCCUCAACAUGUGUAUAUGUUCUCCUAAACCGCUGCUGCAUCUCGAAAACAGAGCUAGACCCCUCUGUUCCAGAUAUCCGAUUAUAAGCCGGAAGACUCUUAGAAAUGCUUUCAAGCUUAGUCUGGAUUCCUUUGACCUUCACCCCAAUUUUGUGCAAAUGAGAAGGCUUGGUGAAUUUCUUGAUGAUUCCAUGAAAGCCCCUCUGAUGUGCGGCAUGAAGAAUAGAGUCGUCAAUAACAUCUUCUGCUUCAUAAGCAAGAUCUCUGAUUUGUCUCACCAAAGUGCGGUUAAGCUUAUUUUGAUCUUGCCUACUGUCUGCAUCCUCCAAGGAGCUCUUCAUCCGCUCCAGUUCAGCCUUGAGGCCCUCCACUUCCUCACGAACUCCACGCAGGAAAACAGCCUCAUGAAUGAGUAAAUCCGAUAUUCUUUCAAUAGCUAAGGACACAAUAGCAUCUGCCAUUUCUCCUGCUGAUUGAAAUUACUCUUCUUUUUUCAAGAUUUCAAACUGAUCCGCCUGUUUCUUGUAUAUGUAUUAGCUUUAGCUGGUAGCUAUACUUGACUAAAUUGAUAUCCUUUUCUCAUUCCUUCUGUUUGGGUUUCGAUUUAUCUAUUUCUCUUUAUCAAAAGGUGUGAAAGCCUGUUGUCUAUUUGACAUUGGACAAGAAAAGCAAAAGGUAGAAGGAAUCUCUUUCCUUACUUUCUUGUCCACUAGUAAUUAUUGAAUUCAAUCCCAACUUGCACUGUCUGUGGAUUAAUAUCCCCACCCUGAGAAUAAUUAUCGAAUAGAGAAUUACUCUGUUUUAGGAAAGUCCAAUACUUAGGUUACCUGUUAUUGGUGUUUAAAUGAAGUGAUUUAAUCUGAGCCAUGAGCCCGGAAUGGAGAUAACAAGCAAAAUUGCUUUAGCGUUUUUACCAUUUGUGAACUGCAAAUAGGCACUUGUCAAAGAGUGAGAAAACAUAAUGCAAGAAAAUUAACCAUGUGGCUAAAGACCCAAUAUAUUUUUUAAUUUUACUAUAUUUUUCUUGAUUGUUGUUCAUUAAAUGUUAUUUAUGUGUUAUGAUAUUAUCAUGUCAUAAAAGAUCUAUUGUAGUGUGGGAUACACCCACAUCUUUUAAAAACUAAAAAUAAAAAAAAAAUCAAUGCAUAGAAGAUUUAAUAAAAUGAUUACUGUUUUUGUCAAGCUGAGAGAAAAUCUAGAGGAAGCCAACAUGAAGCAUGUUCCGAGUUCAAGAAGAUAUAUAUGUCCAGUAAAUUUUUUGUUAUUAGUACCAAAUCUUAAGCAUUUAAUGUUUAUUUAAAUCCUUAAUUAUUCAUUUAAUAAUAUUUUGGGUCAUUAAUCAUAUUAUCAUUUUGCCAAUUAUUAUGGAAAAGAAAUUGAAAUUGUGACUUUUCCUACAAUUUUAUCAAAUUGGAAAUGGGAAUUGAAUCCCGUAUUAGAAAGAAAGAUCAUAAUGAAGAGUUGUAUGCUCAAACAGACAAAAAAAAGUAUUUUUUAAGAAAAAAUUGAAAGACCUACCUAUAUAAGGAAUCUUAGAGAGGUACAAUAAAUAUAUUGUAAUUCAAAUAUAAUCAAUAAAAUUAAUGAUAUGAAUAAUGUUCAAUGUAGAUUUCUGCAAAAAAAUAAUGUUCAAUGUACAAUAAAUAAAACUGAUUGAUCGUUUUACUGUUAAUGUUAUGAAAUUUAAUUCAUUGAAAAAAUAAAUUAUUUAAUAUAAUAAUCUUAAAGAGUGUCUGAAAGCAAUAAUUACCAGAACUUAACAAUGAUUGAAUGCAUAAUUAAUUAUAUAUACUUUAGUCAAUAUUUCUAAUUCCCAUGUAACGUUGAAUAACUGAAUUUCUUCCAUCUUUUUCAAUUGUCUUUGGAUUUACUUUAACUGCAGCACAAAUUAGGCGAAAACCCAAAGCUUCAAUAACACAAAACAAUGUGGAAGGCCUGCCUUGAAUACCAUACACUAGUUGCCUCUUUCUUUAAUCUUUUCUUUUUCUUUGGAUAAGCCAAUAAUUUAGAAGAGAAAGGUUGCAAAAAUAAGAUAGAAUGAAAUAUUAUUUGUUAUCUUCUGCCCCAUCAUAAGCAUUAAAUUGAAGUCUACAAAAUAACAAUCGGUUCAUUCAAACUCACAGCAAUUCAUUUCUAAAAAGCACAUGGUCAUUAGAUUCAAUUAUCCAGAAAAAAAAUACAGAUUAAACUUUCAAACAAUCAAAAAGCAAAUUCAGAUGAUCCCCCAUGUUGAUCUUAUUGGUAGAGUAUAUUUCUGGGCCGAUUUGAUUUACAUACACCAAGAAGAAAAUGGCAUCAUCUCUUGUGAAAAGAAUAGACCCCGAUCAAAACAAAAAAGAUUAUCAUAGAAUUGUCUAACUCACAUGCAAUUACUUUGAGUUGAGGAUUGACAUUGCAAAAUUAGAGUUUUUAACCUUCCCACGUAUCACUUAUUUGGAUGGAGGGAAUGUGGCACACUUUAGAGAAAUCCUCUCCUUCUCUUCUGUCUAUCACUUGAAUCCUCUCUACCAAUGACCUCUUCAUUCUGUAUAAUUCCAUUUCCUGGAGAGCAGUAACAUACCUCAACCCUUCUGGAAAAAUCCUCAAAUUUGGAAUCGAACUCAGACUUAAACUCCGAAGAUGUGGCAUUGCGCCUUGUUCUAUCUGCCACUCUUCUAAUUCUUCUAACUCCCAAAUACCAAGACAAUCAAGUUGAAGAAACUCGCUGGCAGAGCAAACCAGUUUAGUCCCCUUAUAUGAGAGAGUCGAUAAUUGGAGAGUCCUCAAAUGAGGCAGCUUUCCCAAUACAGCCAUUGGAUCCUGCUUCAUCUCACAAUCCCACAAAGUCAACUUGAUAAUGUUUGCUGGCAAAAAUUUCAAAAUAUGAUGGCUCAAAUGUGGAUCUUCUCGUAGCUUCCCUCUUAAGAAUAGUUUUGAUAGGUGAUCGCAAUGAGAAAGGGGUUCCAAGUCUGGGUAUGGGAUUGAAUCCUCUAACCGCAUGUACAAUGACCUAAGGCGUUGUGAUUUAAUAAGUGCUUUUAGGAUAGGUUCCACAUCUUUUGAUCUCUCAAAACUUAUUCCUAAACUCCGAAUAUUACUCAAGUCGAGCACUGCAUUAUUUUCAAAUAAACUCUUGCUCCUUAUGUACUUUAAAGUGUCAAUAUUUUUUAAAGUACCCCUUAGCGGCAAAUGCAAAUAUAUACUUACUAUAAUAUGUCUUAAGCAUCUCAACUUGAAUAAAACAUCAGGAAUUCUUGGUGCUCCAUUUUGGAGGUAUAACGUGUGUAAAUUCUUCAACUUGCCAAUAGAUGGUGGCAAGAUGAUAUCUCCAAAACACAUUAACCUCAAAUACCUCAAAUGAUAUAGAUCACCAAUUACACUUGACACAUGCCACUUGGACACAUUCUUUCUCACAAGAUUCAACACCUUUAAGAAUUUGAAAUUAUUGCAUUUUGAAAUGUGCAAUUCUAUCAAUUUUUCAUUUUGAAAGAGCAACAGAGAACGUAAAUUUUGAUGUUUUCCCUUCAAAAAAACAUACCUUUUACUAGGAUGAAUAGCAAUUCUUCGCGUCAUAGAUGUUGUCAAGGUCACAUGAAGAGAAUUACCAUCGUUUUCAAUCAAUGAUGGCUGAAUAAUUCCCAAGAAAUUCUCCUCUUGAGCUUUUAGCACACACAAGUCCCUCAAGAGAUCAUGUAUUUGAAAUGUUUUCACAAUUAUUCCUGUAUGGUCCCUCUUGCCAACUUGAACCAAACAUCUAUCUAUUAGCUCUUCUAGAUAUUGUUCAGCUACAUCCUCCAUCCGCAUUCCCACGCUUUCAAAUGAUGGUGAAAUGAAACCUUCAGCAAUCCAUAAUCGAAUGAGUUCUCCUUUUGAGAUCACCUUAUCUUCUGGAUAAUGACCGAGAUAUAGGAAGCAUGGUUUUAAAUGAAAGGGCAACUCAUUGUAGCUUAAAGAUAAAAUCCCAUUCACUCCACCAUAAUGAUGAUCUUGUUGUUGGAACUUGUUUAACUGUGCAUUAAUGUUUCUGUGAACCAUCUCCCACUGAGCUCGUGACUUUUUGGUUGCUAGCAAGCCUCCCAACACAGCAAUUGCCAAAGGUAGACCUCCACAUCUUUUCACCAUCUCUCUUCCUGGCAUUUCCAAUGCUUCUGGACAAACAUGAGACUCUGUCUUGUUUUCUGGGAAUGCUUUCAUUCUAAAAAGCUUCCAACUUUCAUCCUCGGUAAGAAAUCGAACCUCUACUGGGGAGUUGCAAGGAUCGGCAUGCAAUGCCAAGUCCUUGUGGCGUGUUGUGAAUAAAAUUUUGCUCCCCUUUCUUCCUCGUGGAAAAGCAGGUUUAAAAUUGUCCCAAUCUUCACUUCUCCAGAUAUCAUCAAGAACCACCAAAUACCGUUUUUCUUUCAAGACAUCAUAAAGCCUUUUCACCAACUCAUGCUCUUUCAGUUUAUCGAUUAGCUCCCUUUCUUCUUUAGAAGGAGAG
rnacentral:lncRNA from 1 species